rnacentral:rRNA from 1 species
GUCUACAGUCAUACCACUCUGAAUGUGCCCCAUCCCAUCUGAUCUCAGAAGCUAAGCAGGAUCAGGCCUAGUUAGUACUUGGAUGGGACAAAGAAAUCUCCAGGAGGAAUCCAUACUGACA